rnacentral:rRNA from 1 species
GACGAACGCUGGCGGCGUGCUUAACACAUGCAAGUCGAACGGAAAGGCCCUGCUUUUGUGGGGUGCUCGAGUGGCGAACGGGUGAGUAACACGUGAGUAACCUGCCCUUGACUUUGGGAUAACUUCAGGAAACUGGGGCUAAUACCGGAUAGGAGCUCCUGCUGCAUGGUGGUGGUUGGAAAGUUUCGGCGGUUGGGGAUGGACUCGCGGCUUAUCAGCUUGUUGGUGGGGUAGUGGCUUACCAAGGCUUUGACGGGUAGCCGGCCUGAGAGGGUGACCGGCCACAUUGGGACUGAGAUACGGCCCAGACUCCUACGGGAGGCAGCAGUGGGGAAUAUUGCACAAUGGGCGGAAGACUGAUGCAGCAACGCCGCGUGCGGGAUGACGGCCUUCGGGUUGUAAACCGCUUUCGCCUGUGACGAAGCGUGAGUGACGGUAAUGGGUAAAGAAGCACCGGCUAACUACGUG